GAUGAACGCUAGCUACAGGCUUAACACAUGCAAGUCGAGGGGCAGCGGUAUCGAAAGCUUGCUUUCGGUAGCCGGCGACCGGCGCACGGGUGAGUAACGCGUAUCGAACCUGCCUCAUACUCGGGAAUAGCCUUGCGAAAGUAAGAUUAAUGCCCGGUGUUUUCAGAGUUCCGCAUGAGGCUUUGAACAAAGAUUUAUCGGUAUGAGAUGGCGAUGCGUCCCAUUAGCUUGUUGGCGGGGUAACGGCCCACCAAGGCAUCGAUGGGUAGGGGUUCUGAGAGGAAGGUCCCCCACAUUGGAACUGAGACACGGUCCAAACUCCUACGGGAGGCAGCAGUGAGGAAUAUUGGUCAAUGGGCGGAAGCCUGAACCAGCCAAGUAGCGUGCAGGAAGACGGCCCUCCGGGUUGUAAACUGCUUUUAGUUGGGAAUAAAACGGGGCUCGUGAGCCCCCUUGCAUGUACCAUCAGAAAAAGGACCGGCUAAUUCCGUG
rnacentral:rRNA from 1 species